UGGGGAAUUUUGGACAAUGGGCGAAAGCCUGAUCCAGCAAUGCCGCGUGUGUGAAGAAGGCCUUCGGGUUGUAAAGCACUUUUGUCCGGAAAGAAAUCCUUGGCUCUAAUACAGUCGGGGGAUGACGGUACCGGAAGAAUAAGCACCGGCUAACUACGUGCCAGCAGCCGCGGUAAUACGUAGGGUGCAAGCGUUAAUCGGAAUUACUGGGCGUAAAGCGUGCGCAGGCGGUUUGCUAAGACCGAUGUGAAAUCCCCGGGCUCAACCUGGGAACUGCAUUGGUGACUGGCAGGCUAGAGUAUGGCAGAGGGGGGUAGAAUUCCACGUGUAGCAGUGAAAUGCGUAGAGAUGUGGAGGAAUACCGAUGGCGAAGGCAGCCCCCUGGGCCAAUACUGACGCUCAUGCACGAAAGCGUGGGGAGCAAACAGGAUUAGAUACCCUGGUAGUCCACGCCCUAAAACGAUGUCAACUAGUUGUUGGGGAUUCAUUUCCUUAGUAACGUAGCUAACGCGUGAAGUUGACCGCCUGGGGAGUACGGUCGCAAAGAUUAAAACUUAAAUGAAUUGACGGGGUCAUAGCUGUUUCCU
rnacentral:rRNA from 1 species